AGCAGCCGCGGUAAUUCCAGCUCCAAUAGCGUAUAUUAAAGUUGUUGCAGUUAAAAAGCUCGUAGUUGAAUUUCGAGAUCAAAUUGUUGGUCGUGCCUCGGUACGUACUGGCAUUAUUGAUUUCUCCCUUCUGAAGAACCUUGAUGUCAUUAAUUUGGUGUCUUGGGGAAUCAGGACCGUUACUUUGAAAAAAUUAGAGUGUUUAAAGCAGGCUCACGCUUGAAUACAUUAGCAUGGAAUAAUGAAAUAGGACGUUUGAUUCUAUUUUGUUGGUUUCUAGGAUCGACGUAAUGAUUAAUAGGGAUAGUUGGGGGCAUUAGUAUUCAAUUGUCAGAGGUGAAAUUCUUGGAUUUAUUGAAGACUAACUACUGCGAAAGCAUUUGCCAAGGAUGUUUUCAUUAAUCAAGAACGAAAGUUAGGGGAUCGAAGACGAUCAGAUACCGUCGUAGUCUUAACCAUAAACUAUGCCGACUAGGGAUCGGAUGAUGUAAUUUUUAAUGACUCAUUCGGCGCCUUAAC
rnacentral:rRNA from 1 species